GUUUAGUUGCUGGGUAUAGACCCGAAACCAGGCGAUCUAUCCAUGAGCAGGUUGAAGGUUGGGUAACACUAACUGGAGGACCGAACCCACUGUCGUUGAAAAGCCAGGGGAUGACUUGUGGAUAGGGGUGAAAGGCUAAUCAAGCCUGGUGAUAGCUGGUUCUCCCCGAAAGCUAUUUAGGUAGCGCCUCGGACGAAUACCAUAGGGGGUAGAGCACUGUUUCGGCUAGGGGGUCAUCCCGACUUACCAAACCGAUGCAAACUCCGAAUACCUAUGAGUACUAUCCGGGAGACAGACUGCGGGUGCUAACGUCCGUAGUCAAGAGGAAAACAAUCCAGACCGCCAGCUAAGGCCCCAAAAUCAUAGUUAAGUGGGAAACGAUGUGGGAAGGCAUAGACAGCUAGGAGGUUGGCUUAGAAGCAGCCACCCUUUAAAGAAAGCGUAAUAGCUCACUAGUCGAGUCGGCCUGCGCGGAAGAUGUAACGGGGCUAAAACUAUGUGCCGAAGCUGCGGAUGUAUACUUUGUAUACGUGGUAGGGGAGCGUUCUGUAAGCCGAUGAAGGUGUGUUGAGAAGCAUGCUGGAGGUAUCAGAAGUGCGAAUGCUGACGUGAGUAACGACAAAACGGGUGAAAAACCCGUUCGCCGAAAGACCAAGGGUUCCAGUCCAACGUUAAUCGGGGCUGGGUGAGUCGACCCCUAAGGCGAGGCCGAAAGGCGUAGUCGAUGGGAAAAUGGUUAAUAUUCCAUUACUUCUGUGUAAUGCGAUGAGAGGACGGAGAAGGCUAAAUCAGCCUGGCGUUGGUUGUCCAGGUGAAAGGAUGUAGGCAUGUAUCUUAGGCAAAUCCGGGGUACUCUAUGCUGAGAUCUGAUAGCAAGCUGUACUUGUACAGCGAAGUGGUUGAUGCCAUGCUUCCAGGAAAAGUCUCUAAGCUUCAGUUACACAGGAAUCGUACCCGAAACCGACACAGGUGGUCAGGUCGAGUAGACCAAGGCGCUUGAGAGAACUCUGCUGAAGGAACUAGGCAAAAUGGUACCGUAACUUCGGGAGAAGGUACGCUGUUGUUGGUGAUGGAACUCGCUUCCUGAGCUGACGACAGCCGCAGAAACCAGGCCGCUGCAACUGUUUAUUAAAAACAUAGCACUCUGCAAACACGAAAGUGGACGUAUAGGGUGUGAUGCCUGCCCGGUGCUGGAAGGUUAAUUGAUGGGGUUAGCGUAAGCGAAGCUCUUGAUCGAAGCCCCAGUAAACGGCGGCCGUAACUAUAACGGUCCUAAGGUAGCGAAAUUCCUUGUCGGGUAAGUUCCGACCUGCACGAAUGGCAUAAUGAUGGCGGCGCUGUCUCCAGCAGAGGCUCAGUGAAAUCGAAAUCGCUGUGAAGAUGCAGUGUACCCGCGGCUAGACGGAAAGACCCCGUGAACCUUUACUGCAGCUUGACACUGAACUUUGACCUUACUUGUGUAGGAUAGGUGGGAGGCUUUGAAGCUGGAACGCUAGUUCCAGUGGAGCCGUCCUUGAAAUACCACCCUGGUAAUGUUGAGGUUCUAACUCUGUCCCGUGAUCCGGGACGAGGACCGUGUCUGGUGGGUAGUUUGACUGGGGCGGUCUCCUCCUAAAGAGUAACGGAGGAGUACGAAGGUGCGCUCAGCGUGGUCGGAAAUCACGCGUAGAGUAUAAAGGCAAAAGCGCGCUUAACUGCGAGACCCACAAGUCGAGCAGGUACGAAAGUAGGUCUUAGUGAUCCGGUGGUUCUGUAUGGAAGGGCCAUCGCUCAACGGAUAAAAGGUACUCUGGGGAUAACAGGCUGAUACCGCCCAAGAGUUCAUAUCGACGGCGGUGUUUGGCACCUCGAUGUCGGCUCAUCUCAUCCUGGGGCUGAAGCAGGUCCCAAGGGUAUGGCUGUUCGCCAUUUAAAGAGGUACGCGAGCUGGGUUUAGAACGUCGUGAGACAGUUCGGUCCCUAUCUACCGUGGGCGCUGGAAAUUUGAGAGGAUCUGCUCCUAGUACGAGAGGACCAGAGUGGACGAACCUCUGGUGUACCGGUUGUGACGCCAGUCGCAUCGCCGGGUAGCUAUGUUCGGAAGGGAUAACCGCUGAAAGCAUCUAAGCGGGAAGCCUACCUCAAGAUAAGAUUUCCCUAGGACUUUAUGUCCUCUAAAGAGCCGUUCGAGACUAGGACGUUGAUAGGUUGGAUGUGGAAGCAUAGUGAUAUGUGAAGCUGACCAAUACUAAUUGCUCGUGAGGCUUGACUAU
rnacentral:rRNA from 1 species